AUCGCACGCUUGGGUAUCCAUCCCCAGGAACCAAAACCCACCCAGAAGUCCAUUGCCUUCAAGGACUUGCCGCAGCGGCGGUGGCAACCCCAAGGUCGCCUAGCACUCGGAAGCGCGACUGCGAACCGGCUCUUUUCGGUUCUGGAGUGC
rnacentral:ncRNA from 1 species